AAUUUGAUUCAACGGCUAACGUUAUUAUAACUUUUAAAUGGGGUUUUUGUUUUUAAUCGUUAGAUCAAAUUUCAAGGAUCUGAAUUGAUGGAUUUAGUAAAAGGGAUCCGGAGAGGAUCCCUUUCCGCUGGUGGAAUCCUUAAUUUGCUCUCAUUUACCCAUUAAUUUAGUACUUUUAUGCCAAAAUAAACUAAUUAGAAUCUUAUAGGAAAUGUUUGCAUUAUUGAGCAAAAACUCUGCCCAAAAUUUCGUAGUUUAUGGUAUUUCUCUCUUUUUUUUUUCCUUUUUUUUUCCAAACAUAAGCUAUGGUGAUAAUUUAUUGAUACGAAACACGAUUGCCAAAAGGAUGCCAAUUAAAUACAUAUUUUUCAGUGGCCAAAUUUUUGAUUUGGAAAGAAUAAGCGUGCAUUAAGCAACUUUAAGUAAUCCUUUAUAUGGCAUCCACAAUGAACAAGGAAACGCAUAAGAACCAUGGGUAUUGUAUGUAAGACAUAUUCUAAAAUCACAACAAGGAGGUAUUAGGAUCACGAAUAAAUCAAAUCAAUAUAAAAUAGAGAUUAACUAAUUAUAUUAAACUUAUCUGUGGAAUACGGAAGACAUUGCAGAUUUUUAGGUUGUCUUCUACUUCCAGUAUUUCAAUAAUCUCUCUCUACUAUAUGAAUAGGGUUCAGCGUAUCUGAGAGAUUAAGUGUAUGGAAGUAGGGACUUAACUAUAGUAUUUAUAUCAUUAGGGUUUAAUCAUAGCCAGCCUAUUAUUGGUUGUGAAAGUCAAACCCUAUCACUUAAGUGUUUAAGUCCCACCAUGAUACUAUAUCUUUGUAGUGAAAUCCAUCAGAUUUCUUUAGGUCAAUUGCAAUGGAUAAGACUCCAUAAUCCUUAUUUCAUUAGGAUUAUUAGAUUACUUAAGUUGUUAACAACACAAUAAACAAGUGGCCUACAACAUAAGUAAUCCAAUACAUCAUUCAUUGUCAUUCACAACCUUACAUUCUCCCACUUGAAUGUCAAUGAUUUAUCCUAACAAAUAAGAACUCAUGGUGAUCACUAAGUCUUCAUAAGUAUGCAACAACCUUUCCUAGCAACCUGUCACUUUGAAUCGAAUGCAGAACCAAAGAAACAAAGAACAACUUUGUAUGUUCCUUGCACUCCAAGAUCACAUCAACAUUCAACUUAAAGCACUUUGUUGCUAACAAAGUCAUGGUGUCAAGAGCUAAUAGUCAAACAUUAGCUCACAAUAGUCGAACUGAAAAUAUGAAAAUAUAUUUCAGUACAAAAGUAGUUCACAAAAGAACUCAACAACGUUGGUAACAACAUCCAACUUUUCUGUCAAUUUAGAAUAUGAUAAGAGAACAAGUAAAAUACGACAUACUAUUUACAAAAUCAGGAUCUCUUAUUAAAACUUAUGAACAAAACUUAAACAAAAAGCUCUUAAAAUAUCAGCCACUAACACUUCAAAAUUUUAACACAAAAGGUAAUCUCUUACUCCCACUGAUUAAAAGAGACAAAAUUAUAUAAAUUAUUAUUACUCCCACUGAUUAAGAGAGUAAAGAAAAACUUUGUAAAGGUCUACAGAAUGAAACAAAUACCUUUCAAAUACUCACAUUAGCAAAACAUUAGCCAUGGGAUCUAAAACAUAAAAUUUGUGAGCUCAACAUCUUUAUUCUAGAUAUUUGUAGGGAAGUGAUUCUUGUGACUGAAAAACUAUACAAAAUCAUUUUGUCAGUUUUGUUCAUCUAACAGUUGACAGAAAUAGAAAACUUUAACUAAAUGUUUUCUUACUGCAUCAAAAACAUAUAAUUCUAGAAUCAUCUUUAGACAGAAACUAAUUAUAUUAGGUUUGCAUAGCUAAAACAUAAAAUACAAGGGCAAACGUAUAUAGCUUCAACACUUUUGAGCAUAUGAAGUAUAUGCAAUCUUGUCAAUUUCAUGUUUCAAUAUACAUUGAUUUAUAGUUGUACUGAAUAAGAAAACACUUUUGAGCAGAUUAAUUAUUUAUCAAUAACAUAUAAAUCACAAGUCCAAUUUCUUGAACCACAAACAAAAAUUAAUAAGCAAAACACUUUUGAGCAGAAUAUAUUCAUUAACCCUUCUUGAAUUUCCUACAAGAUUAGUUGCAUAUAUAAAAUAUAAACUAGUAUGGUAAUGUACGUUUUAUCUACCAAAACUAUGACCAUUAAAAGCAUGCAAAAUUGAUGAGUGUGAAGCUCAUAAUACAUUAUUUCUCCCACUUGGGCAAGCACUCAAAAUUGCUAUUUUAAACACUAGAGAAAGUGGUUUUCAUAUAACAAAAUAUAGGCUAGUUGAAUCAAUAAAGAUAGUGUACACAAUCCAUUAUAUAAUAUAACAUGGCAAAUUUUUACAAAGUUUGAAGUUAGAAAAAUCUAUCAAAAUUGUAAUCAAAUAGGACACGUUGCAAGGUAUGCAAAACUCCAUUAGUAUUUCCCAAGCUCCACCAAAAUUUCAGAUUUAAUCAUAAUUUAAAUAAAACCAAUUUACAAUCUUUAAUAUGCUCAAAACAUGAAAAUUUCUUAAAUAAAUUUACUGAGUCACAAAAUAGUUGAUUUGGACAUAAUAAACCAAUCUAUAUGUAUCAAAAUUAGGAUUAUAUAAGGAACAAUAUCUCAACAUCAUUAAUCGAUAAAAGUGACAAGUGAUUAGAUAAACCAAUAGCUACAAAAUUUAUUUUAGUGUAUGAGAGAAGACACAUAUGUGUUAAAGAUUAGGUCAUAAAUUAAAAUGACCCCUUAUAAGAGAAUCCAAACUUAAAAUUUAUGUUUUAAUUCUAAAACAAAGUCGAUUAAAGUAAACACAUAGAUAUCUCAACAACAUCAAAUUUUCAACAAUAAUUUUAAUCCAAUUUAGAACUCACAGAAAAUUAAGGAAAAAGAUUGACAAAUUUACCUACUCAUUCUCGAUUCUGAAAGAUUCAUCAUGGAAGUAGUCGAGUUGUGGAGGAUCGAACCAACUCCAAAUUGCAUGAUUGUUACACCUUUGGGCAGAAACUAAUCAUGCAAAGAAAAUACCUACAUAGCUAGCCAAAACAUAAAAUACACAACAUACAUAUAGCUUCAACAACUUUGGCCAUAUGAAAAUAUGUUAGAAGUACUUUAUGAUUUUCUAUAAUACUAAUUUAUAAUUGGUGAGCGAUUUCCUGAAAUUCCCAUUGGGACAAAAGUAUUUACCAUAUAAAUUAGAAUUCUGAUUUUUCAAAAUAAUCCUUUAGAACAGUAUUAAAUAACCGUUUUGUUGGAUAUUCAAUGAUUAUCAAAAGAUUCAAUCAGACACAAAAAUAUGUCGUUGUUGACAUUGAACAAUGGAGUUCUCGAAAGAUGAAACAUGGUUAUUCAGUUAUUCGAUAGGGACCAAAAUGAUUAAUUAGUAAAUUGAUGCCACUUUCCAAUUUUCUCUCAAAAGACAAUUAUCAUCAUAAUCAGAAUUGAUGACCAAACAAAACAUUGGUUUAAGCAAAACAAACCAAUACAUCUUUAAAUCAAAAUUUAAUUAGUGUUGUCUAUAAAAUUCAUUAGUAAUGAUAAUUUGCAUAAAAUAAGGACAUAUUGAAACCAUAAACUUGUAUAGUAAUUGGUAUCAAUAGACGUACACAAAUCAGUGAAACAAUAUCACAUAACAAAACCAGUAUUGAAGUACCAAAAUUCAGCAGUACUACUUUAGUUUGCAAAUUUACUAAAAACUCAAUUCUCUUUAGAUUGUCAUGAAAAUUUUUAGGUAUGCACUAGACAUAUAUGGCUACUAUUUCGCAAAAUUUCAUGAUUUUUUAAAAUUUUAAGUGAGCCAAAAAUGAGUUCGAAAAGAGAGGUGCUGCAGAAACUGCAGAAAAUGUUCAGUAUAGACCUGAGAUUACAAAUUCACCAAAUAUUCAUUGUUCAUCCGAUAUGCAUGAAAAUUUUCAGACAUAAAGAAAACAUACAACACUGUUAAUUCCCAAAAUUUCAUAAUUUUUGAGAUUUUACAAGUAUACUAAAAACAAAAUCGAAAUAAGUUGUGCUGCUGAAACAACAGAAAUUCUGCAAAACAUACCCGAGACUAAAUAAUUCACCAAAACUUCAAUCUUCUUCCAAUGUGCAUGAAAAUUUCCAGAAAUAAAGUAGACAUAUAAAUUUACUGUCACUCAAAACUUCAUAAUUUGUUCGAUUUUACAAGUGGGCUAAAAAUAAAAUCUAAAUGGAAUGUCCUGCAGAAACCGCAUAAAUUAUGCAGUACAGUCUUGAGAUUAACAAUUCACCAAAACUUCUUUUUCAAACCAAUGCUCGUGAAAAUUUUUAUAUUUAAAACAAACAUCUCAAUGUAUAUCAUACUAAAAUUUAAUGAAUUUAUGAGUUACAUAGAUAAAUCAAAAUAAUAUCACAAACAGACUAUUCUGCAGAAGUCUACAGAAUUCCAGCAACAUGGUAUCACACUUAAAAUUUUACCAUAAAUCCAUUUCUGGUCCAAAAACAGUGAAAAAUAACCCGCAUCUAAAAUCCAUUUAAUAUUACAACAUGAUCGAAUUUCAUAAAAUUUGAAGUUAGGGAAGUCUAUCACAGGUUAGUGACGACUGCAUGGUUUUCCUUUUUAUGUGAGUUUCUUACCUUUUUCCACAUAUCACAUUUUUAAUUGUAUAGAAAUAUGCACUUAUACCAAACAAGAGUCUGCAAAAGAUUUACUACACCAUUGAAGAAACUCUCCAAAAUCUCAAUUAAGAAUCAAUAGCCCAGAACUACUCAUAUAAAUGAGGUAUAUGAAUUUCAAAUUUGUCAAAAUAACUAAAGUCCAUCAAUAUCGCAAGAUUUAUGGUUUGAAAAUAAUCUAAUUCUUUGAAAGCCCCAAUAAAAGUUUCAUUUUAACAGAUUUAAUUAAUCAUGAAAUCAAUAAACAAUAUAAUUAAAAAAACACAAUAAACCUAAAGCCCUGAUGUAAUCCUUCUCUGCAGCACAAUAAUAAUUUUCUGGAAAAAGAAGACAACCCUAUAUACUCAAGAAAACUCCAUAUACUACCGAAAGGAAGAAAAAAGACAAUUAGCCGGUGACUAAUUAUGAACUCCAAAUUCACCAUGUAGUUAAAUUAUUUCCCUUUUAUUUUUCAUGCCCAAUUUCAAUUUAUUUGGACCUAAAUCCCUAAACAAAAAAUGCAGACUCAGUGAUACAAAAUUGCGGAAGCAUCUUUUAUGAAGUCUCACAGGAUCGAUUAGUCAAAAUAGCCAACCAAAUGAGAAACACAAAUUAUGCUUCACUUGUGUCAAUCAUCUACAGUUAAUCAAAUUACCUGUGAAUCGAACCCUAAGCUUGUUGUGUGGCUCUGAUACCACAUGUAAGACAUAUUCUGAAAUCACAACAACAAGACAUUAAGAUCACGAAUAAAUCAAAUCAAUAUAAAAUAGAGAUUAACUAAUUAUAUUAAAUUUAUCUGUGGAAUACGGAAGACAUUGCAGAUUUCUAGGUUGUCUUCUACUUCCAGUACUUCAAUAAUAUCUCUCUGCUAUAUGAAUAUGGUUCAGCGUAUCUAAGAGAUUAAGCGUAUGGAAGCAGGGACUUAACUAUAGUAUUUAUAUCAUUAGGGUUUAAUCACAGCCAGCCUAUUAUUGGUUGUGAAAGUCAAACCCUAUCACUUAAGUGUUUAAGUCCCACCAUGAUACUAUAUCUUUGUAGUGAAAUCCAUCAGAUUUCUUUAGGUCAAUUGCAAAGGAUAAGACUCCAUAAUCCUUAUUUCAUUAGGACUAUCAGAUUUCUUAAGUUGUUAACAACUCAAUAAACAAGUGGCCUACAACAUAAGUAAUCCAAUACAUCAUUCAUUGUCAUUCACAACCUUACAUUGUAUUGAUAUGACACAAUGGAUCAUUGGUUGCAUAUCUAAAACCUAGGAACACAAAAAGCCAUCGCUAAGAAGCAAGGCCACACAAAUUGCUAGGCAGCACAAACAUACAUAAAACACAACUUAGCUAAGAAGGAAACGACCGUUGGCUCAUCUCCAUGGUGGAAAAAAGGCACAGUCAUCCAAGCCAUCUGCGGCAUCACUGUUGGCUCAUCUAGUUUAUGGUAUUUCUCUUCUUAAUAUCGAAAGAAGUAAAGCGUUCUUUUGAACUUGCACACUUAAUGGUAAUGAUUGUAAUGUAGAAUAAGAACAAACAAAACUAUUAAAAGAAUGGUCACUGUAUAGCUUGUAGAGGUAUCAAACUAUUUUCACUUGUAAGUUUGAAGUUUUAGCUUUGACUCAAAUGCAUAACGAGUUUGAUAACUAUCAUGACUGACUCAUUGUAUAGCUUGUAGGGGUAGCAUCAAAUUGAUCGAUUCAAACUGUUUUGGGCAGUUUGAUUUGGUUUUGAUCAAGAAUAAAAUAAAGUACAAUUUAAAAAUCAAACCCAACCAAACAAAACCACAUAAGUGUCAACAUAUUAUAAUUGUAAUGACUAUUAAAAAUUCGUAUAUUUGUUUGUAAUUUAUGCUUAUGUGAGUUUGUAACUAAUAAGUCAUUUGCUACCGUUAGAUUUUAGUUAAUUGAAUCUUAGUCUUAGUGUUUAAAAAAAAAGUCCCGAGG
rnacentral:lncRNA from 1 species